GGGAUUGUGGCUCAGUGGUAGAGUGCUCGCCUAGCAUGCAUGAGGCCCUGGGUUCUAACCUCAGCACCA
rnacentral:tRNA from 1 species